UACCUGCAGCUCAAGUGGUGAUCGUUAUUAUUGGGCCUAAAACGUCCGUAGCCGGUCUUGUAAAUGCCUGGGUAAAUCGUAUGGCUUAACUAUAUGAAUUCCGGGUAGACUGUUAGACUUGAGACCGGGAGAAGCUAGAGGUACUCCUGGGGUAGAGGUGAAAUUCUGUAAUCCUAGGGGGACCACCAGUGGCGAAGGCGUCUAGCUAGAACGGGUUUGACGGUGAGGAACGAAGCCCUGGGGCGCAAACCGGAUUAGAUACCCGGGUAGUCCAGGGUGUAAACGCUGCUUGCUUGAUGUUAGUUGGGCUCCGAGCCCAAUUAGUGUCGGAGAGAAGUUGUUAAGCAAGCUGCCUGGGAAGUACGAUCGCAAGAUUGAAACUUAAAGGAAUUGGCGGGGGAGCACAGCAACGGGUGGAGCGUGCGGUUU
rnacentral:rRNA from 1 species